UUAAACGGUAGGGUAUUGGCCUACCGUGGCAAUGACGGGUAACGGGGAAUUAGGGUUCGAUUCCGGAGAGGGAGCCUGAGAAACGGCUACCACAUCUAAGGAAGGCAGCAGGCGCGCAAAUUACCCAAUCCUAAUACAGGGAGGUAGUGACAAGAAAUAACAAUACAGGACUUUUUGGUUUUGUAAUUGUAAUGAGGUAAUAAAAC
rnacentral:rRNA from 1 species